GAUGAACGCUGGCGGCGUGCCUAAUACAUGCAAGUCGAGCGAACAGACGAGAAGCUUGCUCCUCUGACGUUAGCGGCGGACGGGUGAGUAACACGUGGAUAACCUACCUAUAAGACUGGGAUAACUUCGGGAAACCGGAGCUAAUACCGGAUAAUAUAUUGAACCGCAUGGUUCAAUAGUGAAAGACGGUUUUGCUGUCACUUAUAGAUGGAUCCGCGCUGCAUUAGCUAGUUGGUAAGGUAACGGCUUACCAAGGCAACGAUGCAUAGCCGACCUGAGAGGGUGAUCGGCCACACUGGAACUGAGACACGGUCCAGACUCCUACGGGAGGCAGCAGUAGGGAAUCUUCCGCAAUGGGCGAAAGCCUGACGGAGCAACGCCGCGUGAGUGAUGAAGGUCUUCGGAUCGUAAAACUCUGUUAUUAGGGAAGAACAUAUGUGUAAGUAACUGUGCACAUCUUGACGGUACCUAAUCAGAAAGCCACGGCUAACUACGUG
rnacentral:rRNA from 1 species